AAUGAACGCUGGCGGCAUGCCUAACACAUGCAAGUCGAACGAAGGCUUCGGCCUUAGUGGCGCACGGGUGCGUAACGCGUGGGAAUCUGCCCUCAGGUUCGGAAUAACAGCGAGGAAUUGCUGCUAAUACCGGAUGAUAUCGCGAGAUCAAAGAUUUAUCGCCUGAGGAUGAGCCCGCGUAGGAUUAGCUAGUUGGUGUGGUAAAGGCGCACCAAGGCGACGAUCCUUAGCUGGUCUGAGAGGAUGAUCAGCCACACUGGGACUGAGACACGGCCCAGACUCCUACGGGAGGCAGCAGUGGGGAAUAUUGGACUAUGGGCGAAAGCCUGAUCCAGCAAUGCCGCGUGAGUGAUGAAGGCCUUAGGGUUGUAAAGCUCUUUUACCCGGGAUGAUAAUGACAGUACCGGGAGAAUAAGCUCCGGCUAACUCCGUGCCAGCCGCCGCAGUAA
rnacentral:rRNA from 1 species